GAUAAUGGCCCACGACCCUAAGAAUGCUGGAUCUCAUCUGAUCUCAGAAGCUAAGCAGGGGUCAGGCCUGGUUAGUACUUGGAUGGCAGACUGCUUGGGAAUCCUGGGUGCUGUAGGCU
rnacentral:rRNA from 1 species